AAUGGUCUGUAGUUUUAUUAUA
rnacentral:misc_RNA from 1 species